rnacentral:rRNA from 1 species
GACGGAAGGUGCAAGCGUUGCUCGGAAUCACUGGGCGUAAAGGGUGCGUAGGCGGCUUGGUGGGUCUGGUGUGAAAGCCCCGGGCUCAGCCCGGGAAGGGCACUAGAAACUGCCGAGCUGGAGUGCCGGAGGGGAGAGUGGAAUUCCUGGUGUAGCGGUGAAAUGCGUAGAUAUCAGGAGGAACACCAGUGGCGAAGGCGACACGCUGGGCCGUACCUGACACUAAAACGCGACAGCAUGGGGAGCGAACAGG